GGGAGGAUAUUUCUAGAAUAUUUUUGUAGAAGUACGCAUGAACUGAAAAGAAAGAAAAAAUGCAGUGCAUCUAUCUGUUUUAUAUAUGUGGUUUAUUUUUCAUUUUUAAAUUUACCAAUUUUUUUACAAGGAAGCGGUUAUGCUCAUGACAGCUUUUAAUUACUAACGGUUGCAUGGCUAAUCUGUAGCAUAUAAGUGGUAUCUCUAAUACGGGUAGUCAUUAAAAAACAUUUGGUGAUGUCAUGACGCAAGCUAAUUUUGCUGCCUUUACUAACUGUACGGAAAGUGCAGAAAAAUAUUUGACUCUUGUAUCUAUCAAAUAAUUUAAUGUUUAUGUGCUAAUGUUUUGUCUUCUUGUUUACAUUAUACAGAAGAAAAAAAGAUUUUGUUUA
rnacentral:lncRNA from 1 species